ACGCAGCUAGAGAAAAAUACUAAACUCAAGUGUCAAAUAAACAUUUUUGAAAAAUUCAUUUGGCGCCAGUUGGAAAAUUUAGGCGCCAGCUGCGGUUCGCAAAUAUUUACAAAUAAAAAAAAAAAAUGUAAAUAAAAUGAAAAUAAAUAAAUAACACAAAUUAACUUAUUAGUGAGCGCUUCAACAGCUACAGCAAUUGGCCAAUAGUUAAUAUAUAAUAUACAUAUAGUUCGAUAGAACUCUGAACUUUGCGUAAUUUAAUGGACCUGAAAGGCAAAAGAUACAGAAUAAAAUAAAAAUUCAUGAUAGCUGCCCACGGAUUAGCCAAAACCGCAAAUCAACUCGUUUUCAACUAGCAAAAUUUAUGUAAACAGGAAUCAUCGCAAAAAUAAAAAAAAAAAAAGAAUUUAUAAAAUAUGUAAAAUUCUUCAUGCGUCAAAAGUUAAAUCGAAUCAACAUAAAACAAAUAAAUGUUGCCAAUAUUGAAAAGCGUGCAAGACAUUAAAGCUGAAGACAAAAGACAACGACUUGUAGCUUCAAUUUAGAGAGUUGCGUUUUAGGUUUUUACUUUCAUAUCAAGUUUUUCAAAACUUUGUCAUAAAUUAGAUUUAAAUGCUGUCUAUAAAAUACAUCUCACAAAUACAUAUACUGCAACAGGUGCAAAGAAAUCAAAGACUGUGGCUGCAAAUUCACUUUUAUGUUUUAAAAGCAGCUUUUCGUGAAUUUAAGUUGAGCUAUUUGAUCUCAACUUUAAAGUGGCCCAGGCUUUCAGAUUGAAACCCGAAAAAAUUCAAAUUUCGAAGAGCUUCAAAGGGGUGAGGAAUACAUAUUUUAAAUUCAAAUCAAGUUGAAGCAAUAGGAGGAGGAUAGAAACAAAAGCUGUGGAAAGUAAAUGUCCAUUAAAAACAGGCGCUUUAAAGCCAGAAGCGUGCGUUGGCUCCACGGCUCGACCUCAACGUGAGGCACACAGCUUUCAAGCGAAACGACCCGGUCAAGUGGCUGGUCGGACUGUUGAAGUUGGACUCGUGGUGUGGCUCAACCAAAUUGACGUCUGCUGCCGCCGACUGUUGACUGUGAUCCACAGACAGACCACUGGCUGGCUGGCUAGCUGGCUGUUUGUCUGGCUGUCUGAGUGGCGCUCAAGUUGCUGUGCAUGUCACGUCUGACCUUGACGCCUCCUUCUCAACAACAACAACAACAACAACAACAGCAAAAGCAAAAACAAAUAAACAAACAAAAAGUGAAAUGAAACACAAACUGAGCAGAAGAUUAUCGGUCAGCAAACGAAGUGAACAACCAAAAAUAAAGCCAUAAGCAAUAAAACUCAAGCCGUGGAAUGCCACAGAUCCAAUCCGAUCUCUGACGUCAGCUGAGGUGCCAGCAUAUUCACACUUCGAUCGCAACACUCGUAGACUUCUUAGCUCCGAUUCUGACUUAAUAUCCGGCAGCCUCUUUCAGCUGUGUAUAAAUAUAUAAUUAUGGCCAUAAAACCA